CAACUAAUUAGUGCAUUUCAGAUUGUCUGGGCUGACAGCUUCCUUUGCCCCAUGAACAGCAAUGCUGGCAAGACUUUCCACAUUCAAAACACUGUCCUGACAAGCCGAGCAAGUGAUUCAACAAGGGAGGAGGUAAAGAAAGGGAGCUAUAACCGGAUACUGCUGCAAACCAAGCUGGCCCCACACUCACAACUAAAACAAGACACGUGCUUCAUUCGCCUUGCAAAAAGUUGCAGCUCAAGAGUUCCACCAGAAAGGCACCAGACCAGCUGGGGAGUCAGACGCACCUGUCCCGAGUUCCAGCUUUAAAGAGCUCUUGCCUUGUGCCAGCAGGAAACACUCUGUAACCCAUUUCUGUCUGCAAAGCAGAGCCAGCCUUUGAGAACUCCCAAAAAACCAGCCUGCCCAAAGUGCCAAGGGGCCAAUGGCAGCCUUCCAAAGACAAGACGCCAAUACCGCUUGCAUUCCCUGGUGGUUGUGAAACAUUGCCUGCUUCAACAGGGCCGACUGUGAAUCUGUGCAAGAAGCAGAGAGCGAGAGUGUAUUCUGAAGUUGACAGAGCUUCCGACAUCCUGAGCAAGAGUUGGCAGGAGUCAGACGGGGGAAGAAAGAAGGAAAGGAUGUUGCUGUCAUGUUCUAAGUGAAAUCUGAUUGGAUAUUGACAGAUAUUUAGAGGCCACAGACCUGUAUGCCACACCAAAGAACAAGGAAGAUGGAAAGUGUCACAAAAGUCAGAAACGCAGAUGAAAUGCAUCUGGCCACUGAGGGUGGUCCUUUAUCCAAGCAGUGCCCACUCAGAGGUCUCUGAUACACAGACUGAUAAGCAGGACAGGUAUCAGAUCUUAGCCACCCAAAUACAGCCCUCCAGCACAGAAAGAGCCGCUCAUGCUGGAGGGGGAAUAGCACAGUCUGGGCCUCAGGAGCUCAGAAUGAGGGUACAUUUUGAGCCAAUUUAUCCCCUCAGCCAGUCCCCAAAAUACUUUUCAUUGUCCCUUGUUUCCUAAGAGACACAGUACCUGCCAUCUCCACUCUGUAGAUGGUGAACCUCAGGCCAGAAUUCAGUCAUGUUUCAGGAAGUCUUUGGGAAACCUAAGAAUAAAAUUCAUGUGUUCUCCAAGCUCACCCCUACCAAAGAUUUGCAUUAUCAAGAAUAUCAGAAGUACCUGGGUGUGAUGGCACACGCCUGCAAUCCCAGCACUCUGGGAGGUUAAAGCAGGAGGAGUACAAGUUUCAGCACAGCCUACACAACUCACCAUUUAACAAGACUCUAUCUCAAAAAUUUUUUAAAACGGGGAAGGGGCCAGGGGAUGUAGCUCAAUGUGAAAGCCCUAGGUUCAAUCCCCAGUGCUGAAAACAAAAGUCAGAAUACUACCGUAGCCAUGGAAAACAGCAUGCAAGGAAGUUCUGUUACCAGGUUCUGGGGACUUCUCCUAAAGAUUCUUUCUAUGUUCUUCUUGUCCUGAACAAAGAAUCAGACAAAACAAGUGCAAAAGGUAGCAAGGUUUUUCAUUUAUUAAGGGCAGGAAAAGAAACAUGCUCUGCAGAGUUAGUGUGGGCCAAUUAAAAGUAAGGAAAAAGUACACUUUACAGUGUAAGAGCAGACCACUGUGAAAGAGAGAGCACAGUGGCCACAGGAAAACGGCAGCUGUCUUUUGUAUCCCGCACUGCUCAGCCUGAAGUCAGAUCUACAUGGACGUAUCACAAACCUGUUUGAGUUGUCAAGAGAAGAAUUGAAGAUAGCACUCUCUGACUGAUCCCCUGUGUAGGGUUUUGAGAACUCUUUUUCUGCAUGUUUCCUAAAUCUCUGUUAUUGACAGAUCACAGCCGGUUGCUCAGCCAGUUUGCCACACCCUCAUCUCCUGCCUCAGCUCCUCAAAAAACUAGAUAUAAAAUUGCUGUCUGACCCAGUAAUUGCACUCUGGUUAUUUAUCAGUCAUCUUCUCGUUACCAUAACAAAACACCCAAGAAAGGCUAUUAGUGAAGUAAAAAGAGAUUUAUUUGCACUCAUGGUUCUGGAGGCUCAAGUCCAAAGUCAGGUAGCCUCAACAGUUUGGGCCUCUGGUGAGGGUGGCACAUCAUCACAUCACGUGGAGAGUGUAUGUUGGAGUGAGUAGUUCUGUGCUCCCGGAAGCACACAGGAAAGGAGAGUGAGGCUCCACAGUCCACUUCAGAGGCAUGUCCCCAGGCACCCAAGGACCCCCACUCGGCCCCCCCAAUCCUACCUCCCUGGGGAUUGAACCUUUACAUGUGGACCUUCGAGGGGACACUUUCCAUAUUUGAACCGUAACCGGGUAUACAGAGGUUAUCAAAAUAUAUUGUGAGGGGCAGGGGAAAGGAAAGAAGGGAAAGGAAAAAUGAUGAGAAAUGGAAAAAAAUGGAAAUAAAGUCUUUGUAAAUAGGGAAGGGUGGAGGGCGUGAAGGGAGGGCUAGGAAUGGGGAAAAAGUAAGAACCAAGAUGCAUCAUGUAAAGGUACAAUUCCCAAUGAGUAAUGUAAUUGUGUUGUAUACCUACAAUGUAC
ensembl:lncRNA